ACGGAGGGUGCAAGCGUUAUCCGGAUUCACUGGGUUUAAAGGGUGCGUAGGAAGGUGUGUAAGUCAGUGGUGAAAUCUUCGAGCUUAACUCGGAAACUGCCGUUGAUACUACAUGUCUUGAAUACCGUGGAGGUGAGCGGAAUAUGUCAUGUAGCGGUGAAAUGCUUAGAUAUGACAUAGAACACCAAUUGCGAAGGCAGCUCACUACACGAAUAUUGACUCUGAGGCACGAAAGCUAGGGGAGCAAACAGGA
rnacentral:rRNA from 1 species